ensembl:lncRNA
CUCACUUUGAGGACAAAACCUGUACGGGGUUAUCUGUGGAACUAUUGCUCAUCGUGAGAAAAUGGUGUAUCCGUCGGAUUAUUUUCCCCACUUUCAACCACGAGAUGGUGAAAACCUACACACUCAGGAGAGCGGUGAUGCAGGUCUUUCCUCUGACAUGGUGCACAAGUUCUGUUACAAGUAUGAGGAAAGUGGCCUGCCUGUAACUGACAUGGGGAGUUGUGUUAGGCCAAUUCCUCACAUGAAGCAGUUCCCCAUGAUGACAAAAAGCAAGCCACACCCAUACCCGCCUGAGUCAAGACCUACACCUAUGACAGAGGGAUUCUUAAUCAAGUCCAGUUUGGCUGGGAUGCAAAGUGGGCCGCAUAAUAACUUCAAUUCCCAGCCAUACACAGAUCAUGAAGAUAAUAGCAAGGGAGAGGAAGUAGUCAAGCCUUUACCCGGAACAUCAGCCAUUACAGAGGCACUCAUGGAAGAUGUAGGAAAUAAGGGUAACAUCAUGGAUGCCAACAGGGACGCCAAAGAAAACCCAGGAAGCGCCACACCAGUGGAAGAAGUGACAAACCAACACCGCUACAAGAAAAGAGCUGUUGGGAAAAAAUGGAAAGUUUACAAUCUCUGUGUGGUGGCAGUUCUAAUCAUAAACUUUCCUGUCUGUAAUGGAUCUUAUGUUUAUAUAUAUACUUAGUCUGCAGCACAUCUACAGUGUCAAAAAAAUGGGCCAAACUGUGUGGUCUGCAAGGAUCAGGACAAGUGCUCCAACCUCAAGACAAUAUAUGACCAUAAUGACCAUAAACUGUACCAGAGAGACGAUGGAGAGAAAGCUUUCCCAGAAUGCUCUCAAAUACCACCGCCUGUGCCUAAGACUCCUAAAAACUGCACAGUAUGCCAGUCCAAUUUUGUCUUCAUUAGCUGCUCAAACGACACUAAUGAAAUCCAACCAGAAGCAAAGGGAUCAUUCAUUCAAGACAUCCAUAAAACAUGCAUGGAGUAUAAGACUUCUGACCCGGUGCCCAGCAGAGGGACUUCCCAUUACAAUCUUGGCCGUGGACUUACUGGAUUGAUUUGUAUGGCUGGUUUGUACUAAUUAUCAUGUAUUAAUGAAUAUGAUACUAACCUAUGACAUAUACAAUAGUCACUUAACAUUGAAGUUAAAUUGCCAAGAGCCAGGUUUUGCUGACCUUGACUGAACAACAGCAGUCUGUAGGGUUUUUUUCUUCUUUCAUUUCACAGUUCUCUUUCUGAUUGCGAUUGGAGCACUGUGAUCUUCAGAGACUUUGGAUCUUCAACAUUUAUCACUCAGCAUGAAACAUCGUGCUGAAACAUCAUUUUUUUUUACUCAUAGCUACUUACUUUCUGUCUUAAAAUGUAUUCGAUUUUAACUGUAUUAGAUUUGCCACAGCAAAAUGGCUAAAUAGGAUCUGUUUUAUUGCAUAUGCUUAAGCCCAAAGAAGUCAGCCUUUUUUUUAGAAAAACAAUUUCCAUAAUAACUGGUUAUUUUUCUGUAAAUCAGCUUCAUACUUAUUUGGCUUAUUAGACUUCAGCUUUACUUGACAGCAAAUAAUUAUGUUUGAAACACAUCUACAUAUCUGGCC